rnacentral:rRNA from 1 species
AUGAACGCUGGCGGCGUGCCUAAUACCUGCAAGUCGAGCGAACAGACGAGGAGCUUGCUCCUCUGACGUUAGCGGCGGACGGGUGAGUAACACGUGGAUAACCUACCUAUAAGACUGGGAUAACUUCGGGAAACCGGAGCUAAUACCGGAUAAUAUAUUGAACCGCAUGGUUCAAUAGUGAAAGACGGUUUUGCUGUCACUUAUAGAUGGAUCCGCGCCGCAUUAGCUAGUUGGUAAGGUAACGGCUUACCAAGGCAACGAUGCGUAGCCGACCUGAGAGGGUGAUAGGCCACACUGGAAAUGAGACACGGUCCAGACUCCUACGGGAGGCAGAAGUAGGGAAUCUUCCGCAAUGGGCGAAAGCCUGACGGAGCAAAGCGGCGUGAGUGAUGAAGGUCUUCGGAUCGUAAAACUCUGUUAUAAGGGAAGAACAAAUGUGUAAGUAAAUAUGCACGUCUUGACGGUACAUAAUCAGAAAGCCACGGCUAACUACGUG